GGAGUCCAGAGAGUUUAUAUGCAAUGUACUGAAAAGUGUAGGAAAGGGAAAAUCAUCAUUUUUGCUGGGAAGGAGCAUCAACAUAUACAAGGUCAAACAAAUGCCAAUCAGAUGUAUAGAGAUUGAGCUAAUCAAGCAUUGGGAAAAGGAAAUGGAUGUGAUGAUCUUUUCAUUCCCUUUCAGCCCUCUUUAUGGUAGCCUUCUCUCCUCAUUUUAUUUUUUCUUUAAGGUUUAUACACCCUAGUCCUCUAGACUAGCUGGCUGGAGAGUGGAAAUGGAGAUGUGAAAGGAAAUGGGAGAGACAGCAGUAUGGUGAAGUCCUUCAUCAAUGCUGGAUGGCUUGAAGCUGCUCUUUGCUGCUAGGAGUACAGGGGUGAUCAUUCUUUAAGCUCAUGAACAUGAGCUUAAAGAAAGUCACUGAGUUAACACAGGAGAUUUGUUGUAUUAACUCUAAUGUUUUUCCUACUAUAAGUAGAUUAGUGUUAAGACAGUGCUUGCUCCUGAUUUGCUAGGAAACCUAGGAUGACUCUCUCAGCUUUUUCAUGAACAUAGUAAGACCUGUGCGUGAUGGUGUAUCACAGCUGAAAUGGCUGUAACCUGUGUCAGAGAGAGCAGGACGAGUCAAGCUGAGCCCUGCAGAAGAGACAAAGAGGUUGGGGGUGUGACCUUCUGGAGCCAUAUUACAAUCAAGCUGAUCCUACUGGGACUCUGCAAGUCACAACAAGUGCCUACUAGCUCUAAGUCCUCUUAUCACCUAUCUUGGCAUUGAAGGUGACCUUGGAAUUUGUCCCACCUGAUGGAGAUUCCGUAUGUGUUGCAAAGGAGCUGCUUCACCUGCUACAGGGGCUGGAGCUGACUGGGGCAGCCCAAACAGUUUGAGGAGAGAACACCACCAGUGCACAGGAGGAGAAGGGACAUACGUUUUCCAUCUUCUCUCUCUUGUCACCUUCAACCUGUGGCAGCACAUGGACAGAGCUGGGACUGGAGCCUUUAACCACUGUGAAUGAGUUGCUGCUACCUCAGACACACAGGCCCCUGUGACCAUGGUCUGACUCUGCUUGCUGGCACAUAGAUCCUCAUGAAAACAUGCACAUAGAAUAGAGAGCCCUUGAUGCAGGAAAAUAAUCAGAAGCAGUUUGAUGAGAAGACAGAAGAGACAGCAGUGAUCAAGUAUGGAGCAUGUCCAGGUAGGUGUACUGAUCCGUAUCCUGUUUUCACAUGAUCAGCUUUUUUAUUCCCUUAGCCGUCUGUUUUCCCAUUGUUAUUCCUCCCCCAACCUCACUGAACCUUCCCUUUCCCCUCCUUUAGUUUCUCCCUUAAAUGUCCCACUGAAAUCUUAGGUAAUCCCACGGUGCUCUUCCCAUAUUGCAUAAUGGGCCCCAUACCCAUUGUGUAUUGUGCUGAAAGGUGAUUGGGAGUGCCUCUCCUGCUGACUCAUCUUCAUGUAUGUCACCCCUGAGACCAUGGGACUGACAGCUUUCCUGAGAUGGCUCAAGCCAGGUUGGGUCAGGGAUUGAGGAGAUUGUUGGGGUUCAUCCAUCCUCAUUCCUCAGUGCUCCCUUUGGUUUAGUCAUAUAACAUAAUAAUCACAGAGCAGACGGUCUUCUCUUCUGUAUCCCACUUCUUCCCUUGCAAUUGCUUAAAAUAAUUAUUCUUGUCCUGAAAAUAAAUAUUUGCCCCUAUUUUUCUAGCUCA
rnacentral:lncRNA from 1 species